AGAAUAUAAGAACCCGACUCUUAAUUUUUAAAUGCUAAGAAUCGACUGUUACAUAAGAGAUUUAAGAGCCGACUCUUAACUUUUUCAGUUAAAAGUUAAGAGUCGGGUUCUUAUAUUCC
rfam:Brassica napus, WGS project CCCW01000000 data, contig: 8586